UGACAAUUCAAAAUAUUUCUCUAAUUUCUUCAUUGUCGAGAAGAAAAGCCAAAAUCAAUUGUCUUGAAAUCAAACUUUUUGACUUAUCUUUAUUUUGUUGUUACGUGGCAAUUUGCACGGUGCGGGAGAUCGUUAUAUGUACAUUUUCAUGUGGAGGUUAACCAAAAUACCAAACAUUUUGAAUAAAAAUUUUGUUUUCAGCUUGAUUUGGAAGCUCACUGCUAAGAAUAAUAAUAAUCGUUGGUGCGACAAUCCACUUGGAUCUGGGCCUUCAGGCGUCUUAUAGCACUUCAUUUAAGGCAGUAGCAGUACACUACAAGCCUAUGGUAAACUGUAGAAAGCAAUGCGGCCAGCGUUGCGCUAGCCCUAGGUUACUUUCCUGAUUUAACUCAGGUAAAGAUUCACAGCUGAGUCGAAUAGCAUACCACAUCCAGUCACGAUACAAAUCCCUCUGCGACCAGUGAGAUUUGAAUCCCGACCUUUCGUGACAGCCUAGCACUCGACCACUAAGCCAUCUGUACACCGAUCAGAAUAUUUAUGAGAAAAGGUGCUUUGUAAUGAAAUUAGAAUACACGGGACAUUUGGAAAAACGAACCCAACAAAUUGAAAGAUUUAAAAGACCUAUUGGAAGAAAAUAUCGCUUCAUAGAUAAUUUGAUUUAAAAAAAAAUUACUGUGGCACUUUGUGGGAAUUUUGAAACAUUAGUAUUUUGUUUAUGUGUAAUGUAUCCUAAGAUUAUAUGAUUUUUAGA